UACGAGACAGUAUAGUACGGGUGA
rnacentral:siRNA from 1 species